UGAACAUAACCACUACACCACCGGGCCGGCCCUGGUCAUAUUGCUACCUUUUGAUUUUUCAGAUUAAGGCAGAAUCUAUGAAGUAGCCGCUCUGAAGAGAGGGGACCAGCUCUCUUGGACUCUGGUGCUAACCCAUCCACAAGCACCAUAAUGGUCGUCCUUCCUCCUCCCACAGUAGACUUCAGGAUGCCAUGCUGCUGUUUCUUCCCAAUUUAAGGCUGCUCUCGAAAUUCAUCUUAAUCUGGUUCUACUGUUACAAAGGUGGAAGACACUCCCUGCGGCCACUGGGCCCCUCUCUGACAGAUGGCGGGCAGACCACGGUCCUCCUUCCACAAAGCCCACGAACGGAGAUGCAGAACUGGGUGUAGGAACAGAGGAGAGUCCGAAGGUCGCCUCCCAGCUCUGCCCACAGUCUGACUUGCCUCGGUGCCUGUGUUAGUCCAGAAGAUUGUGCCACUGAGGAUGCAGAUCGGCCUGGGAAGAUGCUAAGACACAAAAUCUCACAGCUUGGGCCCGACGUUCGAGCACGGUCUAUGUGUUUAGGACUUUCUUGGAAACCGAUGUGUUCCAUUCUUGGAUCAAAAUCUUUCAAUUGCUGAAUUUCAUAUGGAGAAUUUUAAGUCUCCAUAGCUGGCUUAAAAAUGUGGAGAUUUCAUGCCUCCUUACCAGUCAUAAUGUAGUAAUCCAAUAGUAAUGUAAUAA